rnacentral:rRNA from 1 species
UGGGGAAUAUUGCACAAUGGGCGCAAGCCUGAUGCAGCCAUGCCGCGUGUAUGAAGAAGGCCUUCGGGUUGUAAAGUACUUUCAGCGGGGAGGAAGGCGAUGCGGUUAAUAACCGCGUCGAUUGACGUUACCCGCAGAAGAAGCACCGGCUAACUCCGUGCCAGCAGCCGCGGUAAUACGGAGGGUGCAAGCGUUAAUCGGAAGUACUGGGCGUAAAGCGCACGCAGGCGGUCUGUCAAGUCGGAUGUGAAAUCCCCGGGCUCAACCUGGGAACUGCAUCCGAAACUGGCAGGCUUGAGUCUCGUAGAGGGGGGUAGAAUUCCAGGUGUAGCGGUGAAAUGCGUAGAGAUCUGGAGGAAUACCGGUGGCGAAGGCGGCCCCCUGGACGAAGACUGACGCUCAGGUGCGAAAGCGUGGGGAGCAAACA